CUGCAACUCGCCUGCAUGAAGCUGGAAUUGCUAGUAAUCGCGGAUCAGCAUGCCGCGGUGAAUACGUUCCCGGGCCUUGUACACACCGCCCGUCACACCAUGAGAGUCGGGAACACCCGAAGUCCGUAGUCUAACCCGCAAGGGAGGGCGCGGCCGAAGGUGGGUCCGGUAAUUGGGGUGAAGUCGUAACAAGGUAGC
rnacentral:rRNA from 1 species